rnacentral:snoRNA from 1 species
GAUGCCCCUAGAGGCACUGCAGGUGUGUCACAUGUGUGUCAGUCGGUGGCAGAGAGGAGAGAGGUCAUAUCUACGCUCAGUGUUCUGACCUGUGAACAUCUGAAUGAUUAGUAACCUAACAUU